rnacentral:rRNA from 1 species
GAUGAACGCUGGCGGCGUGCCUAGUACAUGCAAGUCGAGCGAACGGACGAGAAGCUUGCUUCUCUGAUGUUAGCGGCGGACGGGUGAGUAACACGUGGAUAACCUACCUAUAAGACUGGGAUAACUUCGGGAAACCGGAGCUAAUACCGGAUAAUAUUUUGAACCGCAUGGUUCAAAAGUGAAAGACGGUCUUGCUGUCACUUAUAGAUGGAUCCGCGCUGCAUUAGCUAGUUGGUAAGGUAACGGCUUACCAAGGCAACGAUGCAUAGCCGACCUGAGAGGGUGAUCGGCCACACUGGAACUGAGACACGGUCCAGACUCCUACGGGAGGCAGCAGUAGGGAAUCUUCCGCAAUGGGCGAAAGCCUGACGGAGCAACGCCGCGUGAGUGAUGAAGGUCUUCGGAUCGUAAAACUCCGUUAUUAGGGAAGAACAUAUGUGUAAGUAACUGUGCACAUCUUGACGGUACCUAAUCAGAAAGCCACGGCUAACUACGUG